CUCCCCUCCCUGUACACACACACCUCUGCUAUGUGGCUUUGGCACUUCUCCUGGCAAGAGCUCGACUUUUUCAAUCUCCAUUGGCCUCAAUCUGGACUGGCUUUACAACUUGCUUUAACCAACAGAAGGUGGCAAAAGCAAUGUUGUAGGAGUUCUGGGUGAGUCUAGGCCUCGGGGGACCUUGCAUCUUCCACCUCUACCUGCUUGGGGGUGCCCUGGGGCUAGUCUAGCCUUCCAAAGGGUGAGAGGCCACGUGGAGCAGAGAUGAGCCAUCCCAGGUGAGGGCCCAGACCGGCGCCGUCCAAUAUGACCUCAUGUGGCUAUUUACAUUUAAAUUAUUAAACAAGGCCAGGCAUGGUGGCUCACGCCUGUAAUCCCGGCACUUUGGGAGGCCAGGGUGGGCGGAUCACCUGAGGUCAGGAGAUCGAGACCAUCCCGGCUAAAACGGUGAAACCCC
rnacentral:lncRNA from 10 species